GUUUACGCCACUGGCUGCCACCACAAUCCUAUUUUCAUCGGUUUGAAGAUUGAAUGACUCGGCUUCACUCCGACACUCGGCUGUUUCCGUGAGCGUCGAGCAGUUGAACCGCUUCGAAAUCGAAACACCUUCAAGGACUUUUGAAUUAAGUGGAAUGGCAGUCUCGCUUCACUCCCGACAUCUCCUAUAACAUACAACAGAGAGUUAUCCCUCUUACCAUCAGGUUCCUACAGCAGCCACCUCUGAGUUCAACUGAAGUCUCUCCUGUACCAAAUAGUUGAAAACGAGACUGCCAUCGCUCCAAGUCCAGAACUGACCUCACUGGGGUGCUCGGGUAGAGGAAGACAUCCCAAUGAUCGGAGCCCCAGCAGUCCAAGAUCCUUCGCUAAAGCAGAGAGACCAGAAGACCACAGCCUGAACCAACCCUUUGUCUUUCAAACCUAAUUCAACUUGAAAUAUCUUUAAAAAAUAAUAGCCCGUGUUCAUCUGAGAGGGAGGGGAGAAACAAGCAUCAGACUCUGGUCUGACUGGAAGACACCCAUACACAGUCACCCUACUGUCCUCGGAUGGAGACCCUCGCUGGAUGCAGACUCAGCUGCAACAUUACAGAAUGUGACGCAUGACAGAACAAAAAAACCCAAGACAAAUACUCUCAGCCUGAGAGUCAAAUAUUAAUUGUCAACAGAACUUUUCUGAGACUGGGAACAAUGGAAGCUGGACACUAGAGAACACAUCCCCUAUCCCAUCUGGACAAGAGGAAUGCCAAAUAAAAUUUGAUUUGAUUUGAAAAUAAAAA
rnacentral:lncRNA from 1 species